rnacentral:tmRNA from 1 species
GGGGCUGAUUCUGGAUUCGACGGGAUUUGCGAAACCCAAGGUGCAUGCCGAGGGGCGGUUGGCCUCGUAAAAAGCCGCAAAAAAAUAGUCGCAAACGACGAAAACUACGCUUUAGCAGCUUAAUAACCUGCUUAGAGCCCUCUCUCCCUAGCCUCCGCUCUUAGGACGGGGAUCAAGAGAGGUCAAACCCAAAAGAGAUCGCGCGGAUGCCUUGCCUGGGGUUGAAGCGUUAAAACUAAUCAGGCUAGUCUGGUAGUGGCGUGUCCGUCCGCAGGUGCCAGGCGAAUGUAAAGACAGACUAAGCAUGUAGUACCGAGGAUGUAGGAAUUUCGGACGCGGGUUCAACUCCCGCCAGCUCCACCA